rnacentral:lncRNA from 1 species
AGAUUUAUUAUAAAUCUUAAAGGUUAAUUUGAUAUGCUAGCACAUUGCAUUAACCUAAGUUCUUAAUUAGGUUAAGUUGACAGUGUUUGAGCUAAAUCAAACCUUCUGCCUUUGACCUAAUUAGAUUAGGUCUAAAUUAAUUGGUUUCCUACCUAACUUAGAAGUGUUUCAAGAGAGGAAGGACUCCACACCAUUAGGUUGUCCACGCCAAAUAAAUGCCGCCCACC